GGGCCGGUAGCUCAGGUGGUUAGAGCGCACGCCUGAUAAGCGUGAGGUCGGAGGUUCGAGUCCUCCUCGGCCCACCA
rnacentral:tRNA from 2 species